GUGGCGGCGGCCUUCCCGGUAGCGCGCGGCUGUUGCGGUCGAAGACUUGGGGUGAAAGCUGCUCUCAGCUCGACCCGACGCGGGCCCCGCCGCCCGGGGUUCCUCGCGCCUCGCCGCACGGAGUCCCCCUCGCCCCGCUGCCCGGGGUUCCCACAGACUCCCCACCCCCUGGGCGACCAGUUCCUGGGUGGCGGGCUGCUAAGGGAGGAGCUCUUUCGGAGAUAGGUGCUUUCAAACCCCGCUCCCGUUUUUUUAAGCUCCAAAUAAGCAAGGAUUCUUUUUUCCCGGUUGAAAUGGGUUGCCACAUUUAUAUUGACUCAUUUAUUGCUGUAAAAUGUACCAUUUUAACCACUUUCAAGCGUGCAGUUCUGUGGCAUUAAGUACCUUUAUAUCGCUGGGCAACCAUCCCCACCCUCCGUCUCCCGAACGUUUUCAUUUUCUUAAACUGGAACUCUAUUCCUUACAGAGUAACUCCCAAUUUCCCCCUUCCCCUUGUAAAAAUUUAUUUUUAGUUUUAAAAUGAUUCAGGUGUCAGUGAAGAUAGGAGUAUGUGAUAUAAAUUCUCCCACUCUGGGUGCUGCCCCCCCAGUUCUGUUCCUGGAAGUAUCAGCAAAUAGCUUUCUUCCUCUUAGGUGUUUCUUAGAGAUCAUCUCCGAUGAUCUAGACUUGCCAUAACUUGUCCACCGCGUCCCCUGUUGGUUGACAGUUGGGUUGUUACCAAUUUUUGGACACAAGCUGCUUUUUUGUGCAAGUGUGAGUUCUUCUGUAGGAGAAAUCUCUGGAAUUGGCGUUGCUGGGCCCAGCAGGAUGUGCCUAAAGUAAUGUUGAUAGCUCUUGGCAAGUUCCCUCUGGAAGUUCCAUUGAUCGUUGAAGCCCAACCACCAAAGUAAGGGAGCCCGAACCUUCCCCAGCACGGCGGCUCGCCCUCCGCCUGACACAUGAAAAAUGGUAUCUCACUGACGUUUACAGCUGUGUUUCUGAUGGUUGUUAUUUUAAGUUUUUCUUGGAAUCAUUUUUCGGUUUCAUGCAAAGCCACUGAAACUUCUUUGAAGAGUUGCUGGUGUAUUGCUCUGGACAGCGGUCGCGGUGUGUUCUCUGAGCCACAGAAGAAAGGUCACCCGUGAACCUCAGUGAUGUAUGCUGUGCCGUGGUAGUGAUGUGAGGGACAGCGCAGACGUUCAUGACACAUCUGUUUUGCGUCAGGUGAGGACACAGCAGGAAGACACCAGCCGUGAACCUGGAAGGGGCUCUCACCAGACACUGAAUCUGCCAGCACCUUGAUCUUGGACUUCCAGCCUCCAGAACUGUGAGAGCUCAGUGGUAUUUGUUUAAGCCGCCAGCCUGUGGUGGCGUUUGGCAUAGCAUCCUGAACAGACUAAGACAGUACUACAUGUACGUGAUUUAGAGAGUGAAUUACCAGAUCCCCUUCUAUACCCCCCACCCAGGUUUCAGCUCACCAAAGGCAGCCACUUUUAAAUCUCUUAUUUUUCUCCGUGUUUCUAAAUAAUCUGCUUAUUUUCCCUCUUUUUUUCUCUCUUUCCUUUAUUUCCGUUUUCGAUGGUGUCUGUUGAUUACCACCAAGUAGGAAUGAGGAAUUCUCUUCCAACCCCACCACAGUCCUUCCUCCCCCGUACAGUUACAUGUUCUCAGUGUUAUGCUCGUGUAAACCAUGUUCACGGUUGAACAUGUAGGCAUAAAUGCCUGACUGUAUGCAUGUGGGCAAAGGCUCCCUUAUGUAGUGGGGAACCUUGAACAAACAAGCCCCCUGAAAGAGGGCUGGACGUAGACCCGCAGGCUGACAUGGUGAGCCCCAGCUCUCCUGAAUGGUCAAUCAACAUGCAUGUAUAAGAUAAACUCA